GACGAACGCUGGCGGCGUGCUUAACACAUGCAAGUCGAACGGAAAGGCCCUGCUUUUGUGGGGUGCUCGAGUGGCGAACGGGUGAGUAACACGUGAGUAACCUGCCCUUGACUUUGGGAUAACUUCAGGAAACUGGGGCUAAUACCGGAUAGGAGCUCCAGCUGCAUGGUGGGGGUUGGAAAGUUUCGGCGGUUGGGGAUGGACUCGCGGCUUAUCAGCUUGUUGGUGGGGUAGUGGCUUACCAAGGCUUUGACGGGUAGCCGGCCUGAGAGGGUGACCGGCCACAUUGGGACUGAGAUACGGCCCAGACUCCUACGGGAGGCAGCAGUGGGGAAUAUUGCACAAUGGGCGGAAGCCUGAUGCAGCAACGCCGCGUGCGGGAUGACGGCCUUCGGGUUGUAAACCGCUUUCGCCUGCGACGAAGCGUGAGUGACGGUAAUGGGUAAAGAAGCACCGGCUAACUACGUG
rnacentral:rRNA from 1 species